GAUGAACGCUGGCGGCGUGCCUAAUACAUGCAAGUAGAACGCUGAAGGAGGAGCUUGCUUUUCUGGAUGAGUUGCGAACGGGUGAGUAACGCGUAGGUAACCUGCCUGGUAGCGGGGGAUAACUAUUGGAAACGAUAGCUAAUACCGCAUGACAACAGUUAUUGCAUGAUAACUGUUUAAAAGGGGCAACUGCUCCACUACCAGAUGGACCUGCGUUGUAUUAGCUAGUUGGUGAGGUAACGGCUCACCAAGGCGACGAUACAUAGCCGACCUGAGAGGGUGAUCGGCCACACUGGGACUGAGACACGGCCCAGACUCCUACGGGAGGCAGCAGUAGGGAAUCUUCGGCAAUGGACGGAAGUCUGACCGAGCAACGCCGCGUGAGUGAAGAAGGUUUUCGGAUCGUAAAGCUCUGUUGUAAGAGAAGAACGAGUGUGAGAGUGGAAAGUUCACACUGUGACGGUAUCUUACCAGAAAGGGACGGCUAACUACGUG
rnacentral:rRNA from 1 species